rnacentral:rRNA from 1 species
UACGUAGGUGGCAAGCGUUUGUCCGGAAUUAUUGGGCGUAAAGCGCGCGCAGGUGGUUCCUUAAGUCUGAUGUGAAAGCCCACGGCUCAACCGUGGAGGGUCAUUGGAAACUGGGGAACUUGAGUGCAGAAGAGGAAAGUGGAAUUCCAAGUGUAGCGGUGAAAUGCGUAGAGAUUUUGGAGGAACACCAGUGGCGAAGGGCGACUUUCUGGUCUGUAACUGACACUAGGCGCGAAAAGCGUGGGGAGCGAACAGG